GGAGUCCCCUCGUUUCAGGCUCUUCAGUGUCAGUGCUCAGUAUCUGCCUUAGAGAACUACGAGAAGGGGCUGCUAGCAGCCGCCAUCCGGGGCACUGGGUGGCUGCAGGUGGUGGUGGCGAUGGAACGGUAGGAGGGCGGCCAGCAGCGGGAGCUUCUCCUGCCGGGCAGGAGGACGAGUAGAAGGGAGAGGCACCACCACAUGCUGGAGGCUGGAGCUUGCACCGCCGCAGCUCGCCUCACUGCAGUUGGAGGUGACGUUGGACACUACAGCUUGGCCAGAGUGGUAGAAAUGUUGUUGCAUAGGAUUACCAGGAGACACCAGGUGCUGCAGCAGCUUCGGGAUAACUUGAGGAUGCAUCCUGGGGAAGAGACACCUCUUGUCCAUGGCGCUGACUACUGAGGACAGCUUCGGUGUGGCUUUUCUGCGGCCAGCUUCUUUGAGGCCUUUUUCUUUCAUGGAUGGUAGAGAGCAGUCUACAGCCUGAGACCCAUCACAAGGAAGAUGUUGAGGCCAAGAGAGAUAGGACGACCAUGGGCCUCAUGCUGCCCAGGAAUAGCCCCGAUUACCCUGGCCCCCAGCUCCAUGCAGCCUGCAUGGCCAGGUUCCUUGUGAGACACCUGGGGGACUCCAAACAGCCGGAAUCCAUCUGCCCACUGGUCCGGAGACAGGGAUCCUCCGCCUCCUUCCAGGGUUGAUGGCUCAGGAGGCCUUCUCUGCAGGGGACCAGGACACAGGAAAGCCAGGAAGAGAUGAGCUGGGAAGGGAGCUGUUGGGGGCCAUUCUGGUUUUAAAAAUAAAGCAGGACUUUCGUUGCUUGUUAUAAAAGGAA